rnacentral:lncRNA from 1 species
GCUCGGGCGGCCUUGGCGGCGGCGCGGCGCGCCCGCGCCAGCCGGUACACGUUCCACAUGCAAGGCUGCACGGCGACGAGCACGUGGGCGACGAGCGUGAGCGCAUAGUUGGCCGGCUGGCCGCACUGGUCGAGCACGCCGUACUGGAGGGUCUGCAGGGUCUCCAUGAGCGCGUAAAAGGCGUAUGGGUAGACGAGCGGCGGCACAGCCGAGGCGCCGCCGGAUCGGCGCGGUGCCGCAGCGACCAGCCAUGUGACGACGGCCCAGCCGCCGAGCGCCAGCGCCGCCGACAUGGAUUGCGAGUAGCACAUGUGUGCGCCGGUCGAAUAGGGCAAAAGAGGCAGAGGUCAAACAAUAAAAGAGAGAGCGAGCGAGAAGAGAAAGAGAGGAAAAAAAAAGGUGCCUCGCAGGUGGGGAUCUGCGCGCUCUUGCAAUUGAGCGUGCCGGCGGUCCGUCGUGCGUGUAUAUCUCGGCGGUGCCCUUUUUUCUUCUCCUUUUUUCGUCGCGCGGGUCUCUUUUGUGUCUGUUUCGGUCGCUUUGGCUCUCCUUGUUCUGGUGCGGGGCGGCGGCGGCGGGGAUGAGAACAAUGGCGCGCCGGCUCUGGCGCAGUAGGAAGGAAAAAAAAGACCGGACG